CAAUUCACUAUUGUGUCAUCAUCUUGAACUUUGCUUUAAAACUUGACCUAAUGACCUUAUUACUAUUCCAAGUGACAAGAUUGUACUCUCUAAAGGAAAGUAAAAUAAUUCAUAAUAAACUGUCUGCCAACUGGUGAACCUGCAUAAUCUGCAUUGGUGUAUGCUUUAAGAACUAAUUUAAAAUUCCUUUUGAAUAAAAUUCCUUUGUCAGGAUUAACCUUUAGGUGAAAUAUUGUAAACUGCAUGAAAGUUAACCUCUAUUCGGCUUUAUAAAUUGGGCAAAACUAGCUUCAUGCAUAUGCAAUGUUUGGCCUUAUAUGAGCAAGAUAUAUAAGUUUUUUUAACAGUUUCUUGUAUAUCUCUCUAUCUACAGUUAUAUCUUCAUUUUGCUUGAGUAGUGCAGAGAUAGAUUUACAUUCUAACUUCCUGUCUCCCUCAGGAAAUAUGCCUUCUCUUAAAUAAGCUACUUUAAUUUUAGAAAGUACCUAAGUUCUUAAGUUCUUUUAUCGUAAAUUCUUUGAUUAUGCACCUUCUUAAUGCUUCUCUUUCUCAUUAUUUUCUAUUACAGUUAUAUCACUUAGAUAUACCAAGAGAUUUGUAACUCUCCUUUAACACAACUACUUUUAUAAGGAGUAUAUGAUCUCUCUAACUCUAUUGGUAGAGUUUAGUAAUCAUUUAUAUCAGAGUGCUUUAUUUAAUUUGCUUGCUCUUUUGCUUCUUAGUUUCACUUGAAACUCAAAUAGACAAUUAAGUAUAUCUCUUGCUCCAUAUUGGUAUUCUUUACAUCGAAUUGCUCCCAAAUAACAAUUAAACUUGGUCACUAAAGAUAGCAAAACUCGUAUAGUACUCAUUUUUGCCACUAUAACAAAUGUCUUCUGAUAUUCCAUACUAAAUAUUUUUGUGUCUCCUUUAGCCACAAAUUAGACCCUAAAUCUCUUUUGGGAACCAUGUAAACUAUACUUCAUUGUCAAUACACACUUGCAUCCACAUGCUUCUCUAGUGCCUGCACCUCUUUUCUCCUAGCAUUUUUUCACUUUCCACCAGAUAAUACCUCAUAAAAUAUUAGGAAUUUGAAUGAAUUGAUUAAGUUUUCAAAUAAUACAAACUAUGGUUAAUUGGUACAAUGAGUGUUUAGUGCUUUCUUCUGUCUUCCCAAUAGCAAUACAAAUAUCAUGAUCAUGUGUUCGUUGAGGAAAAAGUUCUACAACUACAUUUAUCUCAUUCUCAUGAAUGAGUAUCCAGUUUUGGACUUGCAGAAGAUUAGAAUUUGAGUCUCUUUGUCUUGAAUAUAUCUUAUAAAUCGCAUUGAGUUGUGACGUUCUUAAUUUUUUAUUAUGGGUUUGGUGUGAAUGGGUAACGGACGUUGACACGAAUUGAGAUGAUUUGACUAGUAGUAUCAAUUGUACGAGCUUAGGUAGUGUGCUGGUGGAGAAGUUGAGCAAAAAUAAUUUUCUGUCCUCUUUUUAAAUGGAUGAGGACUCCUCUUAAAGAGAAGAGAGUGAAUUAUGAAUUUUUUCUCAUAAAAAACGACAUCAACAUAGAUUGUCCCAUUUGUCUUAUAUUUAAUUGAGAAAACCCAUUUGCAUUCAACUGGUUAUUUAUUUAUUUUUUUUCAGUAGAUUCACCACUUCCUAAGUCUAAUUCCUUUCAAAUGUAUACAUUUCUAUACUUU
rnacentral:lncRNA from 1 species